GUAAGAGUGAUCCCCGUUUUUUGUACAGUUAUAGAGCAACCUUCUUGUUACAGAGUUAUAACGCUGAUUAUUAUUGUUUUUUUUUUAUAACUAUUAUUUGUGUGAGAAUGGCUGUAAGCUUAAGUGAAAUUUUUGAAUUCGUAAAUAUGUAUGAAUCGUCUAACAAGCGAUGUCUUAUGAGAGAGGCAGUAUUGAAAGCCAAGCGGCCUUACAUUAUAUCGUGUGGUAUAAAAAAACAAAAGAAAAUGAAAAAUCUUGGAAUAUAGAAGCAUUAUGUUUGCAGACCAGUUCUUUGAAAUGGCCACAUGUUAUAAAUAUUAAAAAAAGUGGAAACAUAUUUAUAACGUGUUCCUGCAGUUGUCCACACUGUUUAAAGACU
rnacentral:lncRNA from 1 species